GAUGAACGCUGGUGGCGUGCCUAACACAUGCAAGUCGAGCGAUUCUCUUCGGAGAAGAGCGGCGGACGGGUGAGUAACGCGUGGGUAACCUGCCCUGUACACACGGAUAACAUACCGAAAGGUAUGCUAAUACGAGAUAACAUGCUUUUAUCGCAUGGUAGAAGUAUCAAAGCUUUUGCGGUACAGGAUGGACCCGCGUCUGAUUAGCUAGUUGGUGAGGUAACGGCUCACCAAGGCGACGAUCAGUAGCCGACCUGAGAGGGUGAUCGGCCACAUUGGAACUGAGACACGGUCCAAACUCCUACGGGAGGCAGCAGUGGGGAAUAUUGCACAAUGGGCGAAAGCCUGAUGCAGCAACGCCGCGUGAGCGAUGAAGGCCUUCGGGUCGUAAAGCUCUGACCUCAAGGAAGAUAAUGACGGUACUUGAGGAGGAAGCCCCGGCUAACUACGUG
rnacentral:rRNA from 1 species